GCUUACGGCCAUAUCAGCCUGGGUACUCCCGAUCUCGUCUGAUCUCGGAAGCUAAGCAGGGUCGGGCCUGGUUAGUACUUGGAUGGGAGACCACCUGGGAAUACCAGGUGCUGUAAGCA
rnacentral:rRNA from 1 species